rnacentral:rRNA from 1 species
CAGCACCUCAAGUGGUCAGGAUGAUUAUUGGGCCUAAAGCAUCCGUAGCCUGUUCUAUAAGUGUCCGGUUAAAUCCAUUGGCUCAACUAAUGGGCUGCCGGAAAAACUGUAGAACUAGGGAGUGGGAGAGGUAGACGGUACUCGGUAGGAAGGGGUAAAAUCCUUUGAUCUAUUGAUGACCACCUGUGGCGAAGGCGGUCUACCAGAACACGUCCGACGGUGAGGGAUGAAAGCUGGGGGAGCAAACCGGAUUAGAUACCCGAGUAGUCC